rnacentral:lncRNA from 1 species
UCCAAAUUUAGAAACUUUCCUAAAAAGUUUCUCUAUUUUUCAUUUGAUUGAUCGAACAAGAUGCAUCCUAAUCUAUUCACAACAAUGCGAACGUUGAAAUUCAUCGAAGGAUGCAAAGCCACGGCUCUCAACCCUCCUCCGCCGCCACCUCCUCCCUCUACCACCGAAAGAGCCGGCGAAAAGCUCUUUCAGCAUCUCCAUGAUCACCUCCGAGUCAACUCGUUCCGUUCCAAAUCCACCCGGACUCAUCCACCUCCAAAUCAAAACGCCGCCGUUUCGAAAAACUCCCUCCUCCCAUACGGACUCCCCAACACGGACCUCCUCGAACCGCAGAUCGACCCUUCUCUCAAAUUCGUAGACUUGAUCGACAAGCUAGCCGAAGUCUACCGCCGCAUCGAGAACUCCUCGCAGUUCGAGAAAGCCGAGGCCUUUCUAGAGCAAUGCGCAAUCUUCCGAGGCUUAUUGGAUCCGAAACUUUUCCGGCGGAGUCUCCGGUCAGCUAGGCAGCACGCUGUUAACGUUCAUACCAAAGUUGUCUUAGCUUCUUGGCUACGUUACGAGAGGAGAGAAGAUGAGCUUAUAGGGACAACAUCGAUGGAUUGCUGCGGAAGAAACCUCGAAUGCCCUAAAGCGAGUCUCGUUUCCGGGUACGACCCGGAACGGGUGUACGAUCCAUGUAUUUGUUCUGGGUACAACGCUGACGUUGAUGUUGAAGAGUGUUCGACGUCAGAGGUAGAUUACGACAUGUCCUUCUGUAUAGGCGAUGAGGAAGUUCCUUGCGUGAGGUGCAAGAUAGCGUCUUUGUCAAUACCUUUUAAGGCUAUGUUAUACGGUGGCUUUAGAGAGACGAAGCGAAACACUAUCAACUUCACGCGGAACGGAAUCUCUGUGGAAGGGAUGAGAGCUGUUGAGAUGUUUAGUAGGGUUCGAAAAGUUGAGAUGUUUCCUCCCAAUGUUGUCUUGGAGCUACUCACAUUAGCGAACCAGUUCUGCUGCGACGAGUUGAAAGCAGCUUGUGACGUGUUUUUGGCUCGUCUUGUUAGUAAUUUCGAUGACGCGGUGUUGUUGAUUGAGUACGGUUUGGAGGAGGCUGCGUACCUUCUUGUGGCUGCUUGUCUUCAGGUUUUUCUAAGAGAGUUGCCUAACUCGAUGCGUAAUCCGAACGUUGUAAAGAUUCUCUGUAGCGUUGAGGGACGGGAAAGGCUGGCCUUGGUUGGGCAUGCUUCCUUUACGUUGUACCUUUUCUUAAGCCAGAUUGCUAUGGAAGACGAUAUGAAUUCAAACACAACGGUAAUGGUGUUAGAAUGUUUGGUUGAACAUGCGGUGGAGACUUGGCAGAGACAGCUCGCUUGUCACCAGUUAGGUGUUGUGAUGCUUGAGAGGAAAGAAUAUAAAGAUGCUCAGAGAUGGUUUAACUCAGCUGCCAAAGCAGGUCAUGUUUACUCCCUUGUCGGUGUAGCCAGGUCUAAGUUUAAGCUUGGCCAUCGAUACUCGGCUUAUAAGACCAUGAACUCGUUGAUAUCGGGUUGCUCAGCUACUGGAUGGAUGUACCAAGAGAGGUCUUUGUAUCGAAUCGGUGAAGAGAAGGUGCUUGAUAUAGACAUUGCCACGGAUUUGGACCCAACUCUGACUUUCCCUUACAAGUUCAGGGCAGUGUCAUUGGUCGAGGAGAGUCAGUUUGGUGCUGCGGUCGCGGAACUGAACAAGAUUCUGAGGUUUAAAGUCUCUCCUGACUGUUUAGAGAUGCGGGCGUGGAUUUCUAUAGCUAUGAAGAACUAUGAGGGUGCUUUGAAAGAUAUAAGAGCGCUUUUGACAUUGGAGCCUAACUUCUUGAUGUUUAACAAGAAAAUUCAUGGGGAUCAUAUGGUGGAACUCCUCCGGUCGCUGGUUCAGCGACGGAACCAGGCUGAUUGCUGGAUGCAGUUAUAUGAUCGUUGGUCUUCUGUUGAUGAUAUUGGAUCUCUAGCUGUUGUUCAUCAUAUGCUGGCUAAUGAUCCAGGGAAAAGCCUUUUGCGUUUCAGACAGUCUCUUCUUCUCUUAAGGUAGAACAUAACAUACUAUCUUCGUUCCACAACAAUAAAUAUUUUUGAAAAAAAUUGUUUCACAAAGAUAAAUUUUUAUGUUUUUAAAAUUUUUUAUUUUAUUUAAAUUUUAAACAAAUUAAUAGUUUUUAUUGAAUUAGUAUUGUUUAACUUUAUUGAGAACCGAAAAUUACAGAAAAUACUACAUUUAUAUUAUAAAUUUAAUGCGUUUUUGUUAUGUGUUAACAAAUGAAAAACAAUCAACUUGUGUGGAACAGAGGGAGUAUGUUUCAGUAAGACUAUAAAUGAUGUGUUUGGUUUCCUCUAAUUAUGUGAUAUUUCAGGCUAAAUUGUCAAAAGGCAGCAAUGCGUAGCCUUAGGCUGGCUAGAAACCAUUCAAAGUCGGAGCAUGAGAGACUUGUGUAUGAAGGAUGGAUACUGUAUGACACAGGCCACCGUGAGGAAGCUCUGGCCAAGGCUGAGGAAUCUGUUUCUAUACAAAGAUCUUUCGAAGCUUAUUUCCUUAAAGCUUAUGCUCUUGCAGACUCCACACUUGACCCUGAGUCCUCAAAGUAUGUCAUCCAGCUCCUUGAAGAAGCACUUAGAUGUCCAUCAGAUGGUCUUCGUAAGGGACAAGUAUGAGAAGAAACUGUUCCCCAUUGUAUUUAUCAUCCUCUGACUGCAAUUUCAUGAAGAGUUUCUGUUGUACUUGCAGGCUUUGAACAACUUGGGAAGUGUAUACGUUGACUGUGGUAAGCUGGAUCUUGCAGCUGAUUGCUACAAGAACGCACUAACCAUCAAGCACACACGAGCUCACCAAGGCCUGGCUCGUGUUUACCAUCUGAAAAGCCAAAGGAAAGAUGCGUAUAAUGAGAUGACAAAGUUGAUAGAGAAAGCUCAGAACAAUGCAUCGGCCUUUGAGAAGCGUUCAGAGUAUUGUGACCGAGAGGUGGCACAGAGAGACCUAGUGAUGGCGACACAGCUAGAUCCUCUGAGAACUUACCCAUACAGAUACAGAGCCGCAGGUGUGCUAAGUUUCACAGCCAUUUCUUGUUUCUUAUUACUGUUUUUUCUUGAAAACUAAUCCUCAUGAUAUUUUGUUCAUAGUUCUUAUGGACGACCAUAAAGAAAUUGAAGCCAUUGAAGAGUUGUCCAAAGCCAUAGCAUUUAAACCUGACCUCCAGCUUUUACAUCUCCGAGCAGCAUUCUUCGCUUCGAUGCGUGAAACUACAGACGCUAUCAGAGACUGUGAAGCAGCUUUGAGUAUUGAUCCAUGCCACAAAGAUACCAUCAACCUCUAUCACAAAGUACGUGAACCACAGGCAUAGGCAAACCCAUCUGCCAACUUAUAUAUAUCCUAAACUAUGGCGAGAGCUUCUUUCAUCUAAAACCACAUAUACUUGUAUGGCUAUGCCAUUUCAUAUCCAUUACGGAACAUUCCCAUGGGAAACUAAGCCUGGUUCUUUUGUGAUCAAUAAGUUUUGAUAGAAAGAGCUGGGAGCAAACCAAAAGGAGCAGCGACAUAGAAUGUAAAUAUAACUUCAUACUUUGGGUUUUGGGAUUGAUUCUGGUUUGAUGACUGGAUAAGGUUAAUAUAUGAUUAGUGCAGAGUGUGUUCUGCACAAAACAGAACACGAAAAAGAUUGUUAUGCCAUGUUUUGUUUUUAGAUAUCUCACUUCGUGUUGCUUCUUCUUUUCCUUCUUUCAUAUUUUUAAUGUGUUAUUGUGUAUGUAACUUCAUUCUUCUCAUGAUCGUUAUAUUGAUUCUCAGACAACUGAGAUUUUUUCCCUUGCAAAACAAUAAACAUAGAAGUCAGUAAUCAAUCAUCACCAUAGAAAUUGUACACAUAAAACCCAUGUAAGAACCUUCCUGUUUUGAGCACACAAAUUGGACAUUAAAUAAGCCCUAGAAAUAUGUAAGUAGUCGUUUCUUUGUAUUUUGAAAGUUGAAACAACAAUUCCAUAUUUUUAUACCUUUGUUUAAAGUAUGAAAAAUGUACAAUGGACUUUCAAACAACUAGAAAAUUGGGUUGUUCAAACAUUGUUGUUGUUCAUAACAAAACAUAAGCAAAAUAUUAGUAAACAUUAGCAAAAUAUAAGCAAAAUAUGAGUAAACGUUAGCAAAAUAUAAGAAAACAAUCUAAGUGGAAUGCAUGCCCCCACAUAUCGUAUAUGACAUUGGAUGCUAAUUAUACUAAAGCAGACAUUACAUUCACUUUCCCCAUGCACAAACAUGAAAUUUCCCACAAAAUGUUUAAAACCUUUUGACUUGAAAUCAACUCAACACAUUUGAUACACAGACUUUCUUUCCUCAAAUUAUUUGUUUUCAACUUAAUACAUUACUUAGUCAUGUAGUUCUUUUUUCAGAAUUUUUGGCUAAAAUAUAUACGCAAAAAUAUGUAUUCAUUUAUUCAAAAAUACAUACAAGACAUUGGUUUGUUUAUAAAACGGAUGGAGUAUGCAUUACCAUAUAUUCUCUUGCUUCUUUGUCAUUAACGACACAUUUAAUUUAGUCUUCUCCGUAUCUUUUCUCUUGUUACAUGUUUCCCCUUUAUGUUUACAUAAAACAAUCAACAUUCUCUCUAGUUUAAUAUCUCCUCUCUGUAACAUCCUGGUUUUACUUGAACAUGUAAGUCUCUAUGUCAAAACAUCCAUGGAGAUCUCUGAAAAUUAGAGAUCACAUCAAAUAACUUUGUUAUACAAAACAGUUUAUUUUUCUUUUGAAUCAUUCAUUCAAAAAAAUACCUCUAGUGAAUGGUAAAUCAUCAUUAGAGCAAAAAAAAAAAAACAACAAUAGAAGAUCAUUGUUGACUCAGGAGCAAUGAGUAUAAUAAUUGUACAUCUCUGUUUCUAGUCAGUUAGAGAAGGUUAAAUGUAAAAGGUAGAAAACAAUCUCUUCUAAUUUUUCUCUGAAAUUUGAGGCCUAAUCCGUUGUUCUUAAAACUAAUGCCUUCACUUGUUUAAGCUUUCUUCAGUUGCUAUAUCAAGAACACUGCUUCUUUGGCUCUGUUGAAGCUCAAUCAAUUGAUAUUCCCUGAGAGCUUCCAUGUUCCCUUAUGCAAGAAUCUAGUCAAGUAACUGAAGUUAUAAACAUCAUGAUUCUGCACCCUGGUUUUAUUUCCAUAUAUAAACCAAUCAGAAUCACACAAAAGGAAAAUAAAAGACAAGCCCCCAAAUAAAAAGAGACCAAAAUAACAUAACAUUCGUUUUUAGAGAGAGAGAGAGAGAGACAAGAAACCAAAAGCUCAAGAGAGAGAAAGGUCAUUCGCCAAUUCCCUUCUCGCUAUUUUUAUGGACAUAAUGAGAGAAGAUGAUUGGAUUUGAUGGAAACUACACUGCGAAAACACGUUUUCUUCAGAACACGAAUCAAAAUUAAGGGAAGGAGAGAGAGAGAGAGAGAGAGAGAGACGAAGAGAAAUCUCUCGGUGGUCUCAGGUUCAGAGAUCUCCGGUGGGAUAUCCCAGCGUCAUCUCUAAUUUCCCGAAUAACCCAUUAACUCAAAAUCUCAGAUUAUCUAAACCCGACAACGAAAGUGUUCAUCUUUCGAAGACCAAAAUUCAAACACCAUCCAAAUUUAGAAACUUUCCUAAAAAGUUUCUCUAUUUUUCAUUUGAUUGAUCGAACAAGAUGCAUCCUAAUCUAUUCACAACAAUGCGAACGUUGAAAUUCAUCGAAGGAUGCAAAGCCACGGCUCUCAACCCUCCUCCGCCGCCACCUCCUCCCUCUACCACCGAAAGAGCCGGCGAAAAGCUCUUUCAGCAUCUCCAUGAUCACCUCCGAGUCAACUCGUUCCGUUCCAAAUCCACCCGGACUCAUCCACCUCCAAAUCAAAACGCCGCCGUUUCGAAAAACUCCCUCCUCCCAUACGGACUCCCCAACACGGACCUCCUCGAACCGCAGAUCGACCCUUCUCUCAAAUUCGUAGACUUGAUCGACAAGCUAGCCGAAGUCUACCGCCGCAUCGAGAACUCCUCGCAGUUCGAGAAAGCCGAGGCCUUUCUAGAGCAAUGCGCAAUCUUCCGAGGCUUAUU